rnacentral:rRNA from 1 species
UUCCUACGGGAGGCAGCAGUGGGGAAUUUUGGACAAUGGGCGAAAGCCUGAUCCAGCCAUGCCGCGUGCAGGAUGAAGGCCUUCGGGUUGUAAACUGCUUUUGUACGGAACGAAAAGCCUUCUUCUAAUACAGGAGGGUCAUGACGGUACCGUAAGAAUAAGCACCGGCUAACUACGUGCCAGCAGCCGCGGUAAUACGUAGGGUGCAAGCGUUAAUCGGAAUUACUGGGCGUAAAGCGUGCGCAGGCGGGUUUGUAAGACAGAGGUGAAAUCCCCGGGCUCAACCUGGGAACUGCCUUUGUGACUGCAAGGCUGGAGUGCGGCAGAGGGGGAUGGAAUUCCGCGUGUAGCAGUGAAAUGCGUAGAUAUGCGGAGGAACACCGAUGGCGAAGGCAAUCCCCUGGGCCUGCACUGACGCUCAUGCACGAAAGCGUGGGGAGCAAACAGGAUUAGAUACCCCGGUAGUCCUC